rnacentral:rRNA from 1 species
UUAAGCGACUAAGCGUACACGGUGGAUGCCCUGGCAGUCAGAGGCGAUGAAGGGCGUGCUAAUCUGCGAUAAGCGCCGGUAAGGUGAUAUGAACCGUUAUAACCGGCGAUACCCGAAUGGGGAAACCCAGUGUGAUUCGUCACACUAUCAUUAACUGAAUCCAUAGGUUAAUGAGGCGAACCGGGGGAACUGAAACAUCUAAGUACCCCGAGGAAAAGAAAUCAACCGAGAUUCCCCCAGUAGCGGCGAGCGAACGGGGAGGAGCCCAGAGCCUGAAUCAGCAUGUGUGUUAGUGGAAGCGUCUGGAAAGUCGCGCGAUACAGGGUGACAGCCCCGUACACAAAAGCGCAUGUGUUGUGAGCUCGAUGAGUAGGGCGGGACACGUGGUAUCCUGUCUGAAUAUGGGGGGACCAUCCUCCAAGGCUAAAUACUCCUGACUGACCGAUAGUGAACCAGUACCGUGAGGGAAAGGCGAAAAGAACCCCGGCGAGGGGAGUGAAAAAGAACCUGAAACCGUGUACGUACAAGCAGUGGGAGCACAGGUUUACCUGUGUGACUGCGUACCUUUUGUAUAAUGGGUCAGCGACUUAUAUUCUGUAGCAAGGUUAACCGUAUAGGGGAGCCGUAGGGAAACCGAGUCUUAACCGGGCGUUAAGUUGCAGGGUAUAGACCCGAAACCCGGUGAUCUAGCCAUGGGCAGGUUGAAGGUUGGGUAACACUAACUGGAGGACCGAACCGACUAAUGUUGAAAAAUUAGCGGAUGACCUGUGGCUGGGGGUGAAAGGCCAAUCAAACCGGGAGAUAGCUGGUUCUCCCCGAAAGCUAUUUAGGUAGCGCCUCGUGAAUUCAUCUCCGGGGGUAGAGCACUGUUUCGGCUAGGGGGCCAUCCCGGCUUACCAACCCGAUGCAAACUGCGAAUACCGGAGAAUGUUAUCACGGGAGACACACGGCGGGUGCUAACGUCCGUCGUGAAGAGGGAAACAACCCAGACCGCCAGCUAAGGUCCCAAAGUCAUGGUUAAGUGGGAAACGAUGUGGGAAGGCCCAGACAGCCAGGAUGUUGGCUUAGAAGCAGCCAUCAUUUAAAGAAAGCGUAAUAGCUCACUGGUCGAGUCGGCCUGCGCGGAAGAUGUAACGGGGCUAAACCAUGCACCGAAGCUGCGGCAGCGACGCUGAUGCGUUGUUGGGUAGGGGAGCGUUCUGUAAGCCUGUGAAGGUGGCCUGUGAGGGUUGCUGGAGGUAUCAGAAGUGCGAAUGCUGACAUAAGUAACGAUAAAGCGGGUGAAAAGCCCGCUCGCCGGAAGACCAAGGGUUCCUGUCCAACGUUAAUCGGGGCAGGGUGAGUCGACCCCUAAGGCGAGGCCGAAAGGCGUAGUCGAUGGGAAACGGGUUAAUAUUCCCGUACUUGGUGUUACUGCGAAGGGGGGACGGAGAAGGCUAUGUUGGCCGGGCGACGGUUGUCCCGGUUUAAGCGUGUAGGUGUGUGUUCCAGGUAAAUCCGGUUCACUUUAACACUGAGGCGUGACGACGAGGCACUACGGUGCUGAAGCAACAAAUGCCCUGCUUCCAGGAAAAGCCUCUAAGCAUCAGGUAACAUCAAAUCGUACCCCAAACCGACACAGGUGGUCAGGUAGAGAAUACCAAGGCGCUUGAGAGAACUCGGGUGAAGGAACUAGGCAAAAUGGUGCCGUAACUUCGGGAGAAGGCACGCUGACACGUAGGUGAAGUGAUUUACUCAUGGAGCUGAAGUCAGUCGAAGAUACCAGCUGGCUGCAACUGUUUAUUAAAAACACAGCACUGUGCAAACACGAAAGUGGACGUAUACGGUGUGACGCCUGCCCGGUGCCGGAAGGUUAAUUGAUGGGGUCAGCGCAAGCGAAGCUCCUGAUCGAAGCCCCGGUAAACGGCGGCCGUAACUAUAACGGUCCUAAGGUAGCGAAAUUCCUUGUCGGGUAAGUUCCGACCUGCACGAAUGGCGUAAUGAUGGCCAGGCUGUCUCCACCCGAGACUCAGUGAAAUUGAACUCGCUGUGAAGAUGCAGUGUACCCGCGGCAAGACGGAAAGACCCCGUGAACCUUUACUAUAGCUUGACACUGAACAUUGAGCCUUGAUGUGUAGGAUAGGUGGGAGGCUUUGAAGUGUGGACGCCAGUCUGCAUGGAGCCGGCCUUGAAAUACCACCCUUUAAUGUUUGAUGUUCUAACGUGGACCCGUAAUCCGGGUUGCGGACAGUGUCUGGUGGGUAGUUUGACUGGGGCGGUCUCCUCCUAAAGAGUAACGGAGGAGCACGAAGGUUGGCUAAUCCUGGUCGGACAUCAGGAGGUUAGUGCAAUGGCAUAAGCCAGCUUGACUGCGAGCGUGACGGCGCGAGCAGGUGCGAAAGCAGGUCAUAGUGAUCCGGUGGUUCUGAAUGGAAGGGCCAUCGCUCAACGGAUAAAAGGUACUCCGGGGAUAACAGGCUGAUACCGCCCAAGAGUUCAUAUCGACGGCGGUGUUUGGCACCUCGAUGUCGGCUCAUCACAUCCUGGGGCUGAAGUAGGUCCCAAGGGUAUGGCUGUUCGCCAUUUAAAGUGGUACGCGAGCUGGGUUUAGAACGUCGUGAGACAGUUCGGUCCCUAUCUGCCGUGGGCGCUGGAGAACUGAGGGGGGCUGCUCCUAGUACGAGAGGACCGGAGUGGACGCAUCACUGGUGUUCGGGUUGUCAUGCCAAUGGCACUGCCCGGUAGCUAAAUGCGGAAGAGAUAAGUGCUGAAAGCAUCUAAGCACGAAACUUGCCCCGAGAUGAGUUCUCCCUGAGACUUAGAGUCUCCUGAAGGAACGUUGAAGACGACGACGUUGAUAGGCCGGGUGUGUAAGCGCAGCGAUGCGUUGAGCUAACCGGUACUAAUGAACCGUGAGGCUUAACCUU